CCUACGGGGGACAGCAGUGAGGAAUAUUGGUCAAUGGGCGAAAGCCUGACGCAGCGACGCCGCGUGAGGGAUGAAGGUCUUCGGAUCGUAAACCUCUGUCAGCAGGGAAGAACGGUCACUGUGCUAAUCAGCAGUUAAUUGACGGUACCUGCAAAGGAAGCACCGGCUAACUCCGUGCCAGCAGCCGCGGUAAUACGGAGGGUGCGAGCGUUAAUCGGAAUUACUGGGCGUAAAGCGCUCGUAGGCGGUAUGUCAAGUCAAGGGUGAAAGCCCCGAGCUCAACGUGGGAACUGCCUUUGAAACGGGCAAACUGGAGUGUGUGAGAGGAUAGUGGAAUUCCAGGUGUAGGAGUGAAAGCCGUAGAUAUCUGGAGGAACAUCAGUGGCGAAGGCGACUAUCUGGCACAUAACUGACGCUGAGGAGCGAAAGCGUGGGUAGCAAACAGGAUUAGAUACCCGUGUAGUC
rnacentral:rRNA from 1 species